GGGCUCAGAUGAAACGCUGGCGGCAUGCCUUACACAUGCAAGUCGAACGGCAGCGCGGGGCAACCUGGCGGCGAGUGGCGAACGGGUGAGUAAUAUAUCGGAACGUACCCUGGAGUGGGGGAUAACGUAGCGAAAGUUACGCUAAUACCGCAUACGAUCUAAGGAUGAAAGUGGGGGAUCGCAAGACCUCAUGCUCCUGGAGCGGCCGAUAUCUGAUUAGCUAGUUGGUAGGGUAAAAGCCUACCAAGGCAUCGAUCAGUAGCUGGUCUGAGAGGACGACCAGCCACACUGGAACUGAGACACGGUCCAGACUCCUACGGGAGGCAGCAGUGGGGAAUUUUGGACAAUGGGCGCAAGCCUGAUCCAGCAAUGCCGCGUGAGUGAAGAAGGCCUUCGGGUUGUAAGGCUCUUUUGUCAGGGAAGAAACGGUGGGAGCUAAUAUCUCUUGCUAAUGACGGUACCUGAAGAAUAAGCACCGGCUAACUACGUGCCAGCAGCCGCGGUAAUACGUAGGGUGCAAGCGUUAAUCGGAAUUACUGGGCGUAAAGCGUGCGCAGGCGGUUUUGUAAGUUUGUCGUGAAAUCCCCGGGCUCAACCUGGGAAUGGCGAUGAAGACUGCAAGGCUAGAAUCUGGCAGAGGGGGGUAGAAUUCCACGUGUAGCAGUGAAAUGCGUAGAGAUGUGGAGGAACACCGAUGGCGAAGGCAGCCCCCUGGGUCAAGAUUGACGCUCAUGCACGAAAGCGUGGGGAGCAAACAGGAUUAGAUACCCUGGUAGUCCACGCCCUAAACGAUGUCUACUAGUUGUCGGGUUUUAAUUAACUUGGUAACGCAGCUAACGCGUGAAGUAGACCGCCUGGG
rnacentral:rRNA from 1 species